CCUACGGGAGGCAGCAGUGAGGAAUAUUGGUCAAUGGACGAGAGUCUGAACCAGCCAAGUAGCGUGAAGGAUGACUGCCCUAUGGGUUGUAAACUUCUUUUAUAUGGGAAUAAAAUGUUCCACGUGUGGGAUUUUGUAUGUACCAUAUGAAUAAGGAUCGGCUAACUCCGUGCCAGCAGCCGCGGUAAUACGGAGGAUCCGAGCGUUAUCCGGAUUUAUUGGGUUUAAAGGGAGCGUAGGUGGAUUGUUAAGUCAGUUGUGAAAGUUUGCGGCUCAACCGUAAAAUUGCAGUUGAAACUGGCAGUCUGGAGUACAGUAGAGGUGGGCGGAAUUAGUGGUGUAGCGGUGAAAUGCUUAGAUAUCACGAAGAACUCCGAUUGCGAAGGCAGCUCACUGGACUGCAACUGACACUGAGGCUCGAAAGUGUGGGUAUCAAACAGGAUUAGAUACCCCAGUAGUC
rnacentral:rRNA from 1 species